UACAGAGGUGGCAAGCGUUGUUCGGAAUUACUGGGCGUAAAGGGCGCGUAGGCGGCCUUCUAAGUCAGACGUGAAAUCCCUCGGCUUAACCGGGGAACUGCGUCUGAUACUGGAUGGCUUGAAUCCGGGAGAGGGAUGCGGAAUUCCAGGUGUAGCGGUGAAAUGCGUAGAGAUCGGCAGGAACACCCAGGGGGAAACCAGUCGACUGGGCAUCUACUGACGCUGAGGUGCGAGAGCGUGGGGAGCGAACCGG
rnacentral:rRNA from 1 species